rnacentral:rRNA from 1 species
AGAGUUUGAUCAUGGCUCAGGAUGAACGCUAGCUACAGGCUUAACACAUGCAAGGUCGAGGGGGCAGCAUGGUCUUUAGCUUGCUAAGGCCGAUGGCGACCGGCGCACGGGUGAGUAACGNGUAUCCAACCUGCCUUACACUCUUGGACAGCCUUCUGAAAGGGGAGACUUAAUACAAGAUGUUAUCAGUGAGUAAGCUAUUUUCGCAUGUAGUUUAAAGGGUUUACCGGUAGUAAGGAGUGGGGAUGGCGUUUCCAGUUAGAUAGUAGGCGGGAGUAACGGCCACCGUGUCUUCGAGUGAGUAGGGGUUCUAGAGAGGAACGGUCCCCAC